CAUAAAGUUAGAAAAUCUAUAUAAAACUGUGAAUCCCGAAAAUAUUAAAGUCUUCAUCGCUGUUGUCCCAAGAAUGUCCCAUUAGCCGUCGCAUACCGGCAUCCUCAGCGGUUGCCAGUCGAGGGAUAGACACCUGUGGGUGAUCCAAAGGUUUGUAAAUUGAUGAAAUACAAGUAUUGUAAGAAUGACAUGAAUUACAUUUAUGACCCAAGAAAUGGUAUUUCGUAUCACAACGUGAGUUACAGUCAUUGCAACGGAUGGUAGAAAUCCAAGUGUUAUAGGGAUAAGGCAUGGGUUGUCGUUCAAUUUCCAUAUCUAAAAUUCGAAACAAUGAAUUGACAUUAAUGAUCGUUUUGUAACAAGUAGGACAACGAUAAUUGGUUCUUAUAUAUUCUUCAUGACAUCGCUGGUGCAACGGAUGAGAGCAACUUAAAAAGAUUACGCGUUCGCGAGAGUUAAACAUGUAUUCACCACAAAUUGGGCAAUUACAAUCCGUACUUCUUUCGAUGCAACGAUGAGUAUUGAAAACCGAAAUAGGUAAACAAAGGCCACAAGUCUACAGCUGUUAGAAUAUGAGUUUAAAAAGCAAAGCAUGUGCUAAAAGUACACGAAAGUUACCUUGCAGUGGAAAUAAUCAUCGCCAAGACCGCGUCCUAUUCGACAAAUACCACAAUCAUCACAAUGAUAGCUACUUUUAUUCGGAUCGUCAUCCCAAAGUUUGCACUGUUAAGUCAUGUAUUAGUGAUAUUGAACAAGUAUCAAAUAAAAUAUCACAUACCUUAUUGCAGUAAUAUCGGCCCAUACAGUUCUUACAGUAUUUGCAAUAUUGAGCUGCUGGUUGAACCUUGGAACAUAUCAUGCAAAGCAUGUUUUCUACGGCAGGUCGUUCUAAAACAUGAUCACAAGCAUCGUUGUGACAGUGACGGCACGUAUACCACUCGUGACAAUCGAAACACUGAACCUUGCAAUUGCGCAUGUAAUGAGAACACCCUAAAAUUUCUUGC